GACGAACGCUGGCGGCGUGCUUAACACAUGCAAGUCGAGCGGUAAGGCCCUUUCGGGGUACGACGAGCGGCGAACGGGUAGAGUAACAACGUGGGUGGACCUCGCCCUCCAGCUCUGGGAGUAAGACCUCGGGAAACCGGGGUACCGUAAUAACUGGAUAUGACUCCAUGACGCAUGUUGUGGGGUGGAAAGCCUUGUGCGGCUGAGGAUGGGCCCGCGGCCUAUCAGCUUGUUGGUGGGGUGAGGCCUACCAAGGCGACGACGGGUAGCCGGCCUGAGAGGGCGACCGGCCACACUGGGACUGAGACACGGCCCAGACUCCUACGGGAGGCAGCAGUGGGGAAUCUUGCGCAAUGGGCGAAAGCCUGACGCAGCGACGCCGCGUGAGGGA
rnacentral:rRNA from 1 species